UCUCUCUCUCUCUCUCUCUCACCUGCUUCAUUGAGGAACUUGAACACCUUGGCGUUGGUGGCGUUGGAAAUCUCUGCUUUGCCUUGAAGGUCGUGAGCCUUGACGCCGUCCCCUGCAGUGAUGCGGUCCUUGUUCACCACCAGGACGUGCCGCGGGUCACCCUCCACUUCGUGCACCGCCUUCGUCUUGCCCUCGAUGAUCAACGCUCCUGGCUUGGGCUCUGCUGUGGGGAACACGUCAGUAGAAAGCGACGUCGCGGGCGUAGAGGAGACGCAGGGAGUGAUGGCAGCCAGCAGCAAAGACGCAGAGGGAGAAGCAGGCGUGAACGACCCCACGACAGCGGAGCUGCGUGAGGCGUGCGGGGUAAUCGGAUGUAUGCUGGCCCGCAGCACCCCAGACGGCAUGGUGAACGUUGCCAGGAUGAUCUACCUCGGAUUGGUGGCUCUACAGCACAGAGGCCAGGAGAGUGCAGGCAUCGUGACCAGCGAGGGGCCAGCCAGCACGCACUUCAACUAUCAGAAGGGGGACGGCCUGGUGGCGGCGAUCUUCACGGACGAGAAGCUUAACAAACUCAAAGGUGACAUGGGCCUGGGACACUCUCGCUACUCCACGGCUGGCGGGCGGGACCCUACCAACACGCAGCCCUUCAUGGUGCACACUCGCCAUGGGCCCCUCGCCACGGCACAUAAUGGGGAGCUCAUUAACGCCGGGGCACUCAGAAAGGCGAUCAUGGACCGCGGCGUCGGACUCUCCACGCUGUCAGACUCCGAGCUCAUAACGCAGAUGCUGUCCCAGGCUCCUCCCCGCGGUGAGAAGGCCAAACCAGACUGGGGCGCCCGCAUCCGCCACCUAAUUGAGGCCACGCCCACCGCCUACUCCCUCGUCGUGAUGCAAGAGGAUAAGAUCUACGGUGUGCGUGACCCCUUCGGCAACCGCCCCCUCAGCAUCGGCCGACUCAUGCCCCUCGGGACAGCGAACGAGGAAGACCAACGCAAGCCUUUGGGAUGGGUGUUCAGCUCGGAGUCUUGCGCCUUCCAGUCCAUGGGGGCGACGCUCAUGAGAGAGGUGUACCCAGGGGAAAUAGUGGAGUUGAGUCCUGACGGUGUGCGCUCUCUAGACAUCGUACCCCGUCCCAAGAGUACUGCCCCGCACAGCAAUGCUCACGGGGACCCAGACGACAUAGACCACGAGACCAUCUUGCUUGGACCACCGCCCGCCUUCUGCAUCUUCGAGUACGUCUACUUCGCACGAGCUGACUCCGUGUUUGAGGGACAGCAGGUGUACAGCGUGCGUCAGCGGUGUGGUCGCCAGCUAGCCAUCGAAUCACCAGUGGAUGCAGAUAUCAUCUCUACUGUGCCUGAGUCAGCCACGCCUGCGGCCCUCGGCUUCUCUCUCGAGCGCACGCAAAGACAAGUGGUAUGUUCUGGCCGCAGUCUGGCAUCCCGUACAUCGAGGUGCUGUGCAAGAAUCGCUACGUGGGACGAAGCUUCAUUCAGCCCGACACGCGCUCACGACAAUUGGCAGUGGCGAAGAAGUUUGGUGUGCUGUCCGAGAACCUGAUGGGGCGCCGUGUGGUGCUUGUGGAUGACUCCAUCGUACGGGGAACAACAGUGGGCCCCAUCAUCCAGCUGCUGCGGCAAGCUGGGGCAAAGGAGGUACACAUCCGCGUGGCUUCCCCCCCGCUCAAACACCCCUGCUAUAUGGGCAUCAAUAUUCCCACAAGGGGAGAGCUCCUGGCCAACCAGAAGCCGCUUGAGGAACUUGCCAGUUACGUAG
rnacentral:misc_RNA from 1 species